UACGUAGGGGGCAAGCGUUGUCCGGAAUCAUUGGGCGUAAAGCGCGUGUAGGCGGCUCGAUAAGUCUGCUGUGAAAGUCCAGGGCUCAACCCUGGGAUGCCGGUGGAUACUGUCGAGCUCGAGUCCGGAAGAGGCGAGUGGAAUUCCUGGUGUAGCGGUGAAAUGCGCAGAGUAUCAGGAGGAACACCAAUGGCGAAGGCAGCUCCGCUGGGACGUGACUGACGCUGAGACGCGAAGCGUGGGAGCAAACAGG
rnacentral:rRNA from 1 species